ACGAACGCUGGCGGCGUGCUUAACACAUGCAAGUCGAACGGAAAGGCCUGCUUUUGUGGGGUGCUCGAGUGGCGAACGGGUGAGUAACACGUGAGUAACCUGCCCUUGACUUUGGGAUAACUUCAGGAAACUGGGGCUAAUACCGGAUAGGAGCUCCUGCUGCAUGGUGGGGGUUGGAAAGUUUCGGCGGUUGGGGAUGGACUCGCGGCUUAUCAGCUUGUUGGUGGGGUAGUGGCUUACCAAGGCUUUGACGGGUAGCCGGCCUGAGAGGGUGACCGGCCACAUUGGGACUGAGAUACGGCCCAGACUCCUACGGGAGGCAGCAGUGGGGAAUAUUGCACAAUGGGCGGGAGCCUGAUGCAGCAACGCCGCGUGCGGGAUGACGGCCUUCGGGUUGUAAACCGCUUUCGCCUGUGACGAAGCGUGAGUGACGGUAAUGGGUAAAGAAGCACCGGCUAACUACGUG
rnacentral:rRNA from 1 species